AAAAUCGUAAGCUAUUGCUGUAGCAACUGUUCCAACCUGUGACUCACGUUACAUAGAUUCUAACAACAUAUUGUAAAAAAUAAAUAAAUUGAAAAAAAGAUGAACCUUUAAAAAAGAAGGACGCUAUUUAGCAACCUGUAGUAAAGAACCUGAACAGCCUAGUUUAUUAACAGUGAUUUCAUAAGGGCACACAAUAAAAGGCAACAAUGAGGAACACUACACUGCAACCAGGAAAAAUCUAAAAUAUAAAAAUAAUAUAAAAAUAUGAAAUCAAUUUCAAAGUUUCAAAGUUAAUUUAAUAUAAUUUAACAACUGAAAUGUAAGUUGACCUUUCAACAGAAUAUUAAUGUUACAUGCAAAUCCUUAAAAAAAAGAAACACAUUAUUUAAGGGACCAACAAUUUCCAAGAGGUGUUACAACAAUACACAAAGAUGUAACAAAACUAAAUAAAAGACUUUGAUUUAGAUGAGGUUUUAAUUUCUUUUGUGGCAGAUUAUUUGAAAUGAAACCUUCUGUUCAUCUCCUCUCUCACAGCCUUCUGCCGACCUCUUCCUGUCUUGAAUACACCUUCUCCUAAAAUUAACUUGACUUUAAUCUCUGCAGCACUAAAGCUCAGUGAACUUACAACAGCUCAUUCUUCUGCACGCACGACAUGGACAACAACAACAUCUCCAACUGGAAUGCCAACUUCAGAAUCAAUGGAGGAAAGUAAUGCAACGACAACACAGAAAGGGAGUACGGUAUUUUUCAAAUAUAGCCCUAAGGUUGCUGCUGUGAAGCCCCUCGUCUUUGAAUACCCAACUGUGUUCCGGACCACAAUCCUAGCAUCCAACGACUCUGAUGCAACAGACCCAAGCUGAAACAACACGCAUAAGUGAUCAACAAUAUACUCUAGAAAGAAUGUCAAUGGUUCGCCCUGAAGUUCUCUACUUAGAUGAGCACCUUCACUCCACCCUCGGCUACUCCUCAUCUAAAACCAAG
rnacentral:lncRNA from 1 species